rnacentral:rRNA from 1 species
UAACCAUCGAGUCUUUGAACGCCAGUUGCGCCCGAAGCCACUAGGCCGAGGGCACGCCUGCCUGGGUGUCACGCAUCGCGUCGCCCCCUCCCCGCGCCCAAACGCGCGGCGGUGGUGGAAAGUGGUCCCCCGUGCGCGGUGUCGCGCGGUCGGCCCAAAUGUGAUCCCCGGCGACGCACGUCACGACAAGUGGUGGUUGUACCCUCAACGCGCUUUGUCGUGCACCACCGUGUCGGGACGCAUGAUCAGACCCAAUGGCACGUGCGAGCACGUCGCCUUCGACCGCGACCCCAGGUCAGGCGGGAUCACCCGCUGAGUUUAAGCAUAUCAAUAAGCGGAGGAAAAGAA